rnacentral:piRNA from 1 species
UGCCUAAAUGACCGCAGCUUUCUGUGGAGC